rnacentral:rRNA from 1 species
AGUCGAGCGAAUCGAUGGGAGCUUGCUCCCUGAGAUUAGCGGCGGACGGGUGAGUAACACGUGGGCAACCUGCCUAUAAGACUGGGAUAACUUCGGGAAACCGGAGCUAAUACCGGAUACGUUCUUUUCUCGCAUGAGAGAAGAUGGAAAGACGGUUUACGCUGUCACUUAUAGAUGGGCCCGCGGCGCAUUAGCUAGUUGGUGAGGUAAUGGCUCACCAAGGCGACGAUGCGUAGCCGACCUGAGAGGGUGAUCGGCCACACUGGGACUGAGACACGGCCCAGACUCCUACGGGAGGCAGCAGUAGGGAAUCUUCCGCAAUGGACGAAAGUCUGACGGAGCAACGCCGCGUGAACGAAGAAGGCCUUCGGGUCGUAAAGUUCUGUUGUUAGGGAAGAACAAGUACCAGAGUAACUGCUGGUACCUUGACGGUACCUAACCAGAAAGCCACGGCUAACUACGUGCCAGCAGCCGCGGUAAUACGUAGGUGGCAAGCGUUGUCCGGAAUUAUUGGGCGUAAAGCGCGCGCAGGUGGUUCCUUAAGUCUGAUGUGAAAGCCCACGGCUCAACCGUGGAGGGUCAUUGGAAACUGGGGAACUUGAGUGCAGAAGAGGAAAGUGGAAUUCCAAGUGUA